rnacentral:rRNA from 1 species
CCGGCUAAUUACGUGCCAGCAGCCGCGGUAAUACGUAGGGUGCAAGCGUUAAUCGGAAUUACUGGGCGUAAAGCGUGCGCAGGCGGUUAUGUAAGACAGGCGUGAAAUCCCCGGGCUUAACCUGGGAAUUGCGCUUGUGACUGCAUAGCUAGAGUAUGUCAGAGGGGGGUAGAAUUCCACGUGUAGCAGUGAAAUGCGUAGAGAUGUGGAGGAAUACCAAUGGCGAAGGCAGCCCCCUGGGAUAAUACUGACGCUCAUGCACGAAAGCGUGGGGAGCAAACAGGAUUAGAUACCCUGGUAGUCCACGCCCUAAACGAUGCUGACUAGUUGUUCGGGAAUUUAUUCCUGAGUAACGUAGCUAACGCGUGAAGUCAGCCGCCUGGGGAGUACGGUCGCAAGAUUAAAACUCAAAGGAAUUGACGGGGACCCGCACAAGCGGUGGAUGAUGUGGAUUAAUUCGAUGCAACGCGAAAAACCUUACCUACCCUUGACAUGCCACUAACGAAGUAGAGAUACAUUAGGUGCCCGUAAGGGAAAGUGGACACAGGUGCUGCAUGGCUGUCGUCAGCUCGUGUCGUGAGAUGUUGGGUUAAGUCCCGCAACGAGCGCAACCCUUGUCUCUAGUUGCUACGCAAGAGCACUCUAGAGAGACUGCCGGUGACAAACCGGAGGAAGGUGGGGAUGACGUCAAGUCCUCAUGGCCCUUAUGGGUAGGGCUUCACACGUCAUACAAUGGUGCAUACAGAGGGUUGCCAACCCGCGAGGGGGAGCUAAUCUCAGAAAAUGCAUCGUAGUCCGGAUCGUAGUCUGCAACUCGACUACGUGAAGCUGGAAUCGCUAGUAAUCGCGGAUCAGAAUGUCGCGGUGAAUACGUUCCCGGGUCUUGUACACACCGCCCGUCACACCAUGGGAGUGGGUUUUGCAAGAAGCCGUUAGCCUAACCGCAAGGAGGGCGACGACCACGGCAGGGUUCAUGACUGGGGUGAAGUCGUAACAAGGUA